AAACUCAAAGGAAUUGGCGGGACCCGCACAAGCAGCGGAGCGUGUGGUUUAAUUCGAUGCUACACGAAGAACCUUACCAGGGUUUGACAUGCAAGUGGUAGGAAACUGAAAGGGGACCGACCCUUCGGGGAGCUUGCACAGGUGCUGCAUGGCUGUCGUCAGCUCGUGUCGUGAGAUGUUCGGUUAAGUCCGCUAACGAGCGCAACCCUCACUGUGUGUUAUAUGUGUCACACGGGACUGCCGGUUUUAAGCCGGAGGAAGGUGGGGAUGACGUCAAGUCAGCAUGGCCUUUAUAUCCUGGGCUACACACACGCUACAAUGGUCGGUACAAUAGGUUGCCAAGCCGCGAGGCGGAGCCAAUCCAUAAAAGCCGGCCUCAGUUCAGAUUGUAGGCUGCAACUCGCCUGCAUGAAGAUGGAGUUGCUAGUAACCGCAGGUCAGCAAUACUGCGGUGAAUACGUUCCCGGGUCUU
rnacentral:rRNA from 1 species